AAAAAUUAUUGCAUAAAACCAGUGUACAAAAAAUUAUAUACAUAAUGACGUCUAAACCAAAUAUAUGUAUUAAAAAAUCAAUGAGCACAACAGAACAAAAUUCUUGAAAAACUAAAACAACGUUUAACCCGUCAGAUUAAAGUACAAAAGAAUGAAGGAAAGUGCUGGCGAUCUUAAUCUAUCAGCCCCGUCAGAACCAAACUUCCUAACACAAUGACCUGAAGCUCGUCAUAUCCCGCAAGGGCACCAGUACCUGCAAUUGCACCAAGGAUGUUUGAACCAGCACCCUUGAACAGAGAUUU
rnacentral:misc_RNA from 1 species